AAAAAAAAAAAAAAAGGAUAAUAAUGCCUCCUUGGACAGGGGAAUGCCUUAUCACCAAUCCACCACUAAUCACCGGGAGCAAUGUUCUUGACAGCUUUGUGCUACUUGUCAUCCGAAACUGUAUAUGAAUAUACAAAUAAAUUUAUGGAGCAUGGAGAAACAUAACAAGAAGAAUUUCAAAGCCACAUGAAGGAAAACAAACAUGGCAUACUAAAAUUUCAUUCCUUUUCUUUCUAUUAUCAACAAAUACAAAAGAAUUUGUUGAGGUUAAUGUA
rnacentral:misc_RNA from 1 species